rnacentral:lncRNA from 10 species
UUCUCCUUCCUAAAGAUCUCCUUUAGGUAGUGUAUUCCUGAACUCACAGGGCACUGAUGACCAAGCCUGGGGAGUGAAUGUCCAUACUUCUGAGUCCUGUCUGGAACCAGCAACUAAUGUUAUCUAGAAAAUGCAUCAGAAGUGCCGUAAGCUGAGCCUGCUGCUUGAGUGUUCCCUGAGCUCCUUCCCAAAACCUCUUGAGUCAUCACUGACUGAGGGGAAGGAAGGGUGUGGGGUGGGGCCACCCCAAAGCUUGUGUAAGAACCUUGUGACCUACAGCUGUGGGGGAACAAAGGAACCCUCAGGCUUCUGCCCCAGCUGCACAGGGUUCUUGGUUCCUAGGGCUCAUCCAGUUGUCCUAGGGAACAUAAUCCUAUCUUUAAAAUGGUAGAAGCGGUACCUUUGCAGAUGACUUGCUUGAAGAGUUUUAAACCCUGGCUUAAAAGAAUGGAUUCCCUCCCCCACUAGGGUUAGGCCCAUGGAAUUUUGCAAUCAUACUUUCUCGGCCUGGGUCAUGAUGCUGUCCUUCUGCAUUUGGAGAAGCCUCACUCGAAGUGAGGAUACAACUGAGGAAAAUGUGGCUUUUCCAGUGAAAGGCUGAAGCAACCCUCUGGCUGGUUGUGCCUUGGACCUCAGCAUUCUCUGAAUGACAAUAAAGAGUUUGUGCUGCCUUUUUUCCAUUUGCCAUUCCCCACCCCAUCCCAGAUCCAUUCUCCAAACUUGUCCACCCUGUUUUACACUCUAGGAGGCCAAUCUCUAAUGGAGACUUGGCCGAAAUCUCAGGGUCAGAGGAAGGAGAAGCCGGAUUAUUAUUCCUUCCCUAGCCUAAACGGGUGCUCCUGGGCCAGCUAUAAUAUUUAGUUCUGUGGCUCCACAGCUGGAGGCCACCCUUCCAAGUGCCUGGAAAAGGUGGCAGCCCCCUACCCAGGAGGUCCUGCCUGUGUGGAUGAUAAUACCUAUUUGGUCCAAAUUCAUAAUGGCCUUAGGCAAAGCUGUGAAGGUCCCGCCCUUUCUCUUUUUGGCAGCGUCAGUCCAUCAUUCUUUCAGGCCCUUCUCAACAUUUAGCUUUGCUGCCUCACAAACGCUGUCCUGAAAAGGGCUGGAUAAUUCAUUCUCAUUAAAAGGUAAAUGACUAUCCCUGCUGUCCUUCUUCUAGGGAUGUUUUCUUUGAAAAGCUGAAGUCCAAGGAAUGAAGCACUCAUUGUAGAGUUUCAAAGAGGAGCUGAGUGUGGGAUUCAAUUUCCAGUCUUCUGAAAUCCUUCCUGUCUUUUCAACUUACCAGCCUUUGCUGGAGGAGGGUGCAUUCGAAGUGCGUGGAGAGGCUCAUGCUGGGCUUUCCAGUACUCAGACUGCAAGAGCUUUGGUCUAAGGAGGGGGAGAGGAGAAGUCCUGGGAUAGAAGUGUUCAUUGUGGUAGAGAGGAGGCUGGGAGCUAAAUGUCCAGCAGCCUCCAGAAUGCUUAAGAACAACAGUCUUAGGCCCUGCACUUCCUUCGGCCCCCACCCCCGCACUUUCCAUCAGCCAAGGCACCCUCCUUCCCCCAAAACAAGUCUCGUUCUGGAGAGUUCCAAGGAUGGUGGAAGGGAACAUCAAGAAGAGCCUAGGCCCUAAGAACUCUAUGCUUCAUUUACAUUUUAACAUCCAUCAGUGGGACUUAAUAUUAAUAGCUCUCCCUUAUUGAAAGCUCGGCUGUAAGUUAAGGGCAGGGACUGGGUUUAUAUGUCCUUCAUCUGUGUAUCUUUUAAACAUAGCUCAGUGAUUUGCUCAAGAAACACGAGUCAAGGCCUGGCACAGUGGCUCAUGCCUGUAAUCCUAGCACUUUGGGAGGCCGAUGCAGGAGGAUCACUUGAGCCCAGGAGGUGGAGACCAACCUGGGCAAGAUGGUGAGACCCCCAUUUCUAUUUUUUAAAAAUCUUAAUUAGCCAGGCAUGGUGGCCCAUACCUGUUGUCCCAGCUACUCAGGAGGCUGAGGCCAGAGGAUCCCUUGGGCCCAAGAGUUUGAGAAUACAGUGAACUGUGAUCACACCACUGCACUCCAACCAGGACAACAGAGCAAGACCCCCAUCUCUAAAAAUGUAUAAUACAAUUAAAAAUAAAGAAAUACAAGUUGACUAGAUGAACACAGGAUCUCACUUAAUUCUCACAAGAACCUUGUCAGGUACUUCCUAGCAUCAUUUCCAUUCUGCGGAUGAGGUAGUUACGGCUUAGAAGGGUUAAAUAAUUGGCCCAAGGGUACCCUAUUGGUGAGGGGUAGGGCUGGUGUUCUAGUCAGUUCUGACUGACUUCAAGCCCAGACUCUAAGGCAAGACACUCAACUGCAUUUAGACAAUGCCAGUUUGGACAAAGGGUGGUCUUGCAUCUCCCUUUUUGUAGCAAUUCUCUCACAGAAGUAUUUUUAUAACUCUGAGAAAUCUUUAUAUACAUUUCUUUAUAUCCUUUAUAUUUUCUCUCCAGGUUAAGCCAGCACUUAACACCACAUGAAAUUGAAGUUCAUGGAAUUCAAAGACGAGGCCCAAGAGGCAGCAGCAAAGGUCAGCAUCUCCACCACCCCAUCAGGUCUUGCCCAUGUUGACCCAGGUGCUGGGACAGGAGGCACACACUGAACUUACUGCUCCCGUUGACUUCUCAUCUGGUUCCAGGUCUCCACUUUCCACCCCUUUUCCUCCACAGACUAAAAGCUAAGUCAUUCUGGGUGUGACGUGUGUCUAGAAAGAGUGUGUCUGGCUUCUUGUUUUUACCACAAAGUGUGCCUGAGAUAUAGGUCUGUGCCGCCAUUUUGGCUCUCAAGCCAGGGAACCUCUUGGUGUUCUCAUUUUGGAAUUUUAUUCUGGAAAGUUCGGAGGACCCAGGGACUCCUUACUGUGAUACCCGAUUCUCUGGCUUUAAUCAAUUAUUCAUUAUUCACUCAGGUACUUAAUGAACAACUCUCAAUAUCUAAUUUUGUUCCAGGCUUUGAAGAGGGUCAGAAGGAUGGAAGACUUGGCCCCUCCUCUCUAGUAGUGUACACCAUGCCUGAGGAGACCACAUAUCAACAUGGAACAGCCCCGGUUAGGGCACAAGGGCGCUGGGGCCUGGACAGUCAUGCCAUGGGAGCUCAGUGGGAGGCUGGACUUAGGCUGAGGUGCGUGGGGAGAGCUUCCUGGACAGCUGGGAUCUAAGGAUGCUUAAAUCAUGGACAGGAAAGCAGCUGCAGCCUAACGAAGAGCAGGGGUGUUAGGAGGCUUCCCUAAAGUUCUGUGACCCUGUAGAACUGUUGCCACUGCUAUGGUCACUGCUGCAACUACAAGCACUGCAUCUGGCAUGGGAGCUUGAUGGACCAGAGCACAUGCAAAGAGGGCAUCGGAAAUCCCAGAAGGGUAUGCGGGACCUUGUACCCUGUGGGAUUCCCAUGCUUACUUCAGGCAAACAGUAAGCCAGUAAGUGGAUGGCUGGCAGAGCUUCCCCCAGACUCUGAGGCUCUCAAACCCAUCUUUCGUGCAGAGAGAAUUGUGUGGUUAUCAUCCCCAGAACUCACCUGCUGAGUAAUUCGAUGCGAGUGAUUUGAUGUUCAGUCCCUCCUAGCAGGAGGCAGACCAGCAGGGAGUUACAGUUAACACUAACUGGGCAUGGCUAUUGAGGCAGGAGAGUAGGGUCUGGAGUCAGGCUGGUCACAGGCCAAGUCUUCAUUUGCAGAGGAGUAUAACUUUGUAAGUUCACUUCAGCCUCUGAUUGGUCACUUUCUGCAAUCAAUCAGACAUUUGCAUAGGGUGUAACUUUGUAUCUUCACUUCAGCCUCUGAUUAGUUGCUUUCUGCAAUCAAUCAGACUGAUCGUGGGCCACUAUUUCAUUUACAUAGGGUGUAAACCAAGUAACCAAUGGAAAACCUCUAGAGGGUAUUUAAACCCCAGAAAAUUCUGUAACCAAAGCUCUUGAGCUGCUUGCUCGAGCCCCCUCCCACUCUGUGUCGCGUACUUUUGUUUCAAUAAAUCUGUGCUUUUCUUUUGUUGCUUUGUUUGUGCUUUUUGUCCAAUUCUUUGUUCAAAAUGCAAAGAACCUAGACAGUUAUGACUUUUUGUUUUCAUUGUCCUUUUUCCAAAAUUGUAUCUGAGGGGAGACUUCCUGGGCUCUGUUAAGAUCAAGCACAUCUGCCUUCAGGGAUGAUGGGCUUGAGGCAAAUACUCAAAGCCACCUGAGGGUCCUCUUGUCCACUGUGUCUAUUCCAUCAAGGAGCACACAUUUGGAGCUGGGGAAGAGCAUGGUCCAUCUUGGUGUCAGAGAGGAGGCUACUGUCCUGGCUGAACCAGAGGGAUUGCCAAGAGAACAGGAAAAAUCGAGCCUAUGGCAUGAAAGGGCAGCUGUGGUGAACUGUUUGCGCAGACCAAUGUGUCAGUAGUGUCUACCUGGGUCAAAAGACACCUCUGGUCUUUCUUUAACCUGUCUCCUUGCCUUCAGGAUGCUACCUCUACCCAAAUGCUGCUGCCCCUGAUAUCUUCCUAAGAACAGAUCUAAUCAUGUCACCAUUCUGCCAGCACCCCGGGAAGGCUCAGGGUCACAUAUCAAAACAAGUUCAGGACUUCUAGCAUUAUGGCAGAUGGCCUUCCCAUGAAAAAAAAACAUAGAAAUGUUGGGUAAACGAUAACAACAAAAGUUUUUUUUAAUGUGUGCUGUCUUUAAACAAAAUAAAAGGAAAUCCUCACGUGGUAGAAAUGGAAGAGAGAAACCACAGCCAAAGCAGUAAGUAUAAGCUGGAAACCUAGAGCCCAUGGAAAUUGCAGAGGAGCCAAAUUUAGGCUCUAGAGACUGGGCUGAAAUUAAAGCACCUGUGUGAGAAUAGGACAUGUGGCCUUAGGCUUGCUUGGAGGAGAGAAAAUGGUUUUUUCAUUUGUUUGUUUUAAGACGGAGUCUCGCACUGUUGC